rnacentral:rRNA from 1 species
UACGUGGGGGGCAAGCGUUGUUCGGAAUUACUGGGCGUAAAGGGCUCGUAUGCGGCCAACUAAGUCGGACGUGAAAUCCCUCGGCUUAACCGGGGAACUGCGUCCGAUACUGGAUGGCUUGAGUUUGGGAGAGGGAUGCGGAAUUCCAGGUGUAGCGGUGAAAUGCGUAGAUAUCUGGAGGAACACCGGUGGCGAAGGCGGCAUCCUGGACCAACACUGACGCUGAUGAGCGAAAGCCAGGGGAGCAAACGGG